AGCAGAAUGGGAUCGUUGUUUGAGUGCUGGACUAGGAUUCCCAGAGGCCAGGGUUCGAAUCCCUGCUCAGCCA